UGUCAAUGGCCUAACGGCUGAACCAGCAACUUGCAGGAAUGAGAGUUAAUAUAAUAAGUUUAUUAACUUGCUUGACUAGGUCUUAUAAAGUUCUGGAUAAAGCUUAUUAUGAAAACUUUAUAUCCAUAGGUCUCGACCAAAUCUUGUGCCAGCAGUCGCGGUAAGACAAGGGAGACGAGUGUUAUUCAUCUUUAACAGGUAUAUAGGGUACCUAGACGGUGUGCAAUGGCUUAAAUAAGUACCUGGUACACUUGAGUUUGAUAUGUGAGAGGAAUAUGUCGGAAUUGUUGGAGGAAAGAUGAAAUUUGUUAAUACCAAUAGGACUGAUAACGGCGAAGGCAAACCUCUAUGUACAUGUACUUGCUAUCUCUAAAUUAGAGAGUAACAGAAAUUUCUUUUAUAAAAAAAGAGGAAAACAGCAAUGUACUAUAACUGACGUUGAGGGACGAAGGCUCAGAGAGUGAAGAGGAUUAGAUACCCCCGUAACCUGGGCAGACAAUGAUGAGUGCCAUAGGUUGGCUUUAAGGCGGAACUAUAAAUGAAAGUGGAAGCACUCCACCUCAAGAGUAAUGUGGCAACGCAGGAACUGAAAUCAUUAGACCGUUUCUGAAACCAGUAGUGAAGUAUGUUAUUUAAUUCGAUGAUCCGCGAAUAACCUUACCACAAUUUGAAUGACCUAAAAUAUUUUUUUGAAUUUUUAGACCACAUGCGUUGCAUGGCUGUCUUCAGUUAAUGUCGUGAGAUUUGGUUAGGUCCAUUAAAUUAACGUAAACCCUUGUUUUAUUUAUUACAAUAAAGCAGCUCUCCGCUUACAAUUGGAUGUGAUAAUAGGGACUAAGACAAGUCAUCAUGGCUU
rnacentral:rRNA from 1 species